rnacentral:rRNA from 1 species
AAACGUAGGAGGCGAGCGUUAUUCGGAUUUACUGGGCGUAAAGCGCGUGCAGGCGGUUCGGCAAGUUGGAUGUGAAAGCUCCUGGCUCAACUGGGAGAGGUCGUUCAAAACUACCGGACUAGAGUAUGAGAGAGGGAGGUGGAAUUUCGGGUGUAGUGGUGGAAUGCGCAGAUAUCCGAAGGAACACCAGUGGCGAAAGCGGCCUCCUGGCUCAUGACUGACGCUAAGACGCGAAAGCUAGGGUAGCAAACGGGAUUAGAGACCCCGGUAGUCCUAGCCGUAAACGAUGUAGACUUGGCGUUGGUGGGGUAAAAUCCAUCAGUGCCGAAGCUAACGCGAUAAGUCUACCGCCUGGGGACUACGAUCGCAAGAUUAAA